CCUACGGGAGGCAGCAGUGAGGAAUAUUGGUCAAUGGCCGCAGGGCUGAACCAGCCAAGUCGCGUGAGGGAUGACGGUCCUAUGGAUUGUAAACCUCUUUUGUCAGGGAGCAAAGGGCGCCACGUGUGGCGCUUUGCGAGUACCUGAAGAAAAAGCAUCGGCUAACUCCGUGCCAGCAGCCGCGGUAAUACGGAGGAUGCGAGCGUUAUCCGGAUUUAUUGGGUUUAAAGGGUGCGCAGGCGGAAUGUCAAGUCAGCGGUAAAAUUUCGGGGCUCAACCCCGUCGUGCCGUUGAAACUGGCGUUCUUGAGUGAGCGAGAAGUAUGCGGAAUGCGGUGUGUAGCGGUGAAAUGCAUAGAUAUCACGCAGAACUCCGAUUGCGAAGGCAGCAUACCGGCGCCCAACUGACGCUCAUGCACGAAAGCGUGGGUAUCGAACAGGAUUAGAUACCCUAGUC
rnacentral:rRNA from 1 species